rnacentral:hammerhead_ribozyme from 1 species
AUUCUACUGAAGAGUCCCAAACUAGGACGAAACAGUUGUCUAAU